ACGGAAGGCAGCAGUGGGGAAUAUUGCACAAUGGGGGAAACCCUGAUGCAGCGACGCCGCGUGAAGGAAGACGGUCUUCGGAUUGUAAACUUUUGUUCUUAGUGAAGAUAAUGACGGUAGCUAAGGAGAAAGCCACGGCUAACUACGUGCCAGCAGCCGCGGUAAUACGUAGGUGGCAAGCGUUGUCCGGAAUUACUGGGUGUAAAGGGAGCGCAGGCGGGAAAUCAAGUUGGAUGUGAAAUGUCGGGGCUUAACCCCGGAACUGCAUCCAAAACUGAUUUUCUUGAGUGAAGUAGAGGUAGGCGGAAUUCCGAGUGUAGCGGUGAAAUGCGUAGAUAUUCGGAGGAACACCAGUGGCGAAGGCGGCUUGCUGGGCUUUAACUGACGCUGAGGCUCGAAAGUGUGGGGAGCAAACAGGAUUAGAUACCCUGGUA
rnacentral:rRNA from 1 species